CUUUGUGAAGAGCGGAGCUUACAACGCGACCCCAGGU
rnacentral:rRNA from 1 species